UUCCGAAACCUUGAUUUUCAACCUAUCCUGAACCCGGAAAAACUGUGAGCAGUGUGACGUAAAUCAAGUCAACUCAUAGGUAACAUUGGCGGGGAAUGCAAAAACACUGACAGUGUCGCGAGUUCGGUAGCACAGAAUUUUGUCAGGUCCAGGACGGAAAAUGAAUUGAAAGCUAGGUUAGUGCCAUGACAAAACAAAUGUGAUGUCAAUUGUUUUUUUCGAGCCAUGGGAUACUAAGUUACGUGAUCAUCGCCUGCUAGCCUGCUACUUAGCCAGUUAAACUUAUAUUGCUUGCUAAUAACGUCAGCUAGCUACAUAGUGGUAAGCUAUGUAGCUAGCGUUCUAGCCAACUGGUGUACAGUAGUCUGGCCAUAUCAAUUACUGUUACUGUACAUAGCUCUAACGUUAAACCCAAUCAAUGACUCUAACCUGUGGAAGAAAACUGGAGAACCAUGUUCGACCCAUUUGUGGAUCAAGUCUGGGAAGAACUGGGACCGCUGGAUCCAAACUGGUUUGAAGAGCUGACGAUCAAAGGACGGAUUACUGGGAAUGACACUACCACAGAAGAAGAUCCAUUGAGCAGGAAUAUACCAACAGACGAAGGUGGAUGUUUCAAAACACCAUUAGAUAAAUCUGCAGUAGACAAUCAGCUCUUCUCUACACCUAAGGUUUUUAGAUGUAGUAGAGUACAUUUCCCUGAAACGGAUGAAGAUGGGUUAUUGUCCUGUGAAAAAGUAUGCCAUGAAGGGACUUCAGAAAAAGUAACAAGUUUGUUAUGGACAGAUACAAGCCCAAGCUUAUUUGGAUCAUGUGAAAAUGGGUAAGGA